rnacentral:tRNA from 1 species
UUGACCGAAACCAAAGGAGGAGGUAUGCUACUGUUAAUAGUAAUAAUGAAAAUCUAAUUUUCCGGUUAAA